GACGAACGCUGGCGGCGUGCUUAACACAUGCAAGUCGAACGAUGAAGCAAAGAAUUGAAGCUUCGGCAGAAAUUCAUUUCGGAUUAGUGGCAGACGGGUGAGUAACGCGUGAGCAACCUACCUCUUACAAAGGGAUAGCCUCGGGAAACCGGGAUUAAUACCAUAUAACAUUGCGACGAAGCAUUUCGAUGCAAUCAAAGCUACGGCGGUAAGAGAUGGGCUCGCGUCCCAUUAACCAGAUGGUGAGGUAACGGCUCACCAUAGUAACGAUGGGUAACCGGCCUGAGAGGGUGAACGGUCACACUGGAACUGAGACACGGUCCAGACUCCUACGGGAGGCAGCAGUGGGGAAUAUUGCAAAAUGGAGGGAACUCUGAUGCAGCGACGCCGCGUGAGUGAUGAAGGAAUUCGUUACGUAAAACUCUGUUCUAUGGGAAGAAAAGGACGGUACCAUAGGAGAAAGCUCCGGCUAAAUACGUG
rnacentral:rRNA from 1 species